GUGGAUUAGAUACCCGGGUAGUCCACGCCGUAAACGAUGAUAACUAGCUGUCUGGGCACUUGGUGUUCAGGUGGCGCAGCUAACGCAUUAAGUUAUCCGCCUGGGGAGUACGGCCGCAAGGUUAAAACUCAAAUGAAUUGACGGGGGCCUGCACAAGCGGUGGAGCAUGUGGUUUAAUUCGAAGCAACGCGCAGAACCUUACCAGCGUUUGACAUGCCCGGACGGUUUCCAGAGAUGGAUUCCUUCCCUUCGGGGACUGGGACACAGGUGCUGCACGGUUGUCGCCAGCU
rnacentral:rRNA from 1 species